rnacentral:rRNA from 1 species
GAUGAACGCUGGCGGCGUGCCUAAUACGUGCAAGUCGAGCGAAUGGAUUAAGAGCUUGCUCUUAUGAAGUUAGCGGCGGACGGGUGAGUAACACGUGGGUAACCUGCCCAUAAGACUGGGAUAACUCCGGGAAACCGGGGCUAAUACCGGAUAACAUUUUGAACCGCAUGGUUCGAAAUUGAAAGGCGGCUUCGGCUGUCACUUAUGGAUGGACCCGCGUCGCAUUAGCUAGUUGGUGAGGUAACGGCUCACCAAGGCAACGAUGCGUAGGCGACCUGAGAGGGUGAGCCGCCACACUGGGACUGAGACACGGCCCAGACUCCUACGGGAGGCAGCAGUAGGGAAUCUUCCGCAAUGGACGAAAGUCUGACGGAGCAACGCCGCGUGAGUGAUGAAGGCUUUCGGGUCGUAAAACUCUGUUGUUAGGGAAGAACAAGUGCUAGUUGAAUAAGCUGGCACCUUGACGGUACCUAACCAGAAAGCCACGGCUAACUACGUGCCAGCCGCCGCAGUAA